AUAUGAAUCCUUGCUUUACAUAUGUGGUUAUCAUACAUAUAUUAUUAACAGUUAAUUGAUUUGUAGCCUUCUAUUGGUGUACCUACAAUCUUCAUGCUUUUACACAACAGGUUAUUGUAAAAGAGAUUUGUGUGUGCAUGCUUUGUACAUAGAUUUAUCGUUUAUUUGGUUAGGAACCUAAUUUUUUUAGAUUUAUCAUUUGUUGUUGUGUUUACAAAUCCUAUAGCUACACCUGCAGUGAGAACCAAGAUGCGAACUUUGUAUGGUGGGUUAUUUCCCUUCUAAUGUUUGCCAGAAAAAACAGUUCUGGUCCAAUUGCAACUUGUGUACCAAGCUUGAGGAAAUUUAGAAACCAAAGAAAUAGAAAAUCCAAUAGAAAGGAGGAUAUGGAUUUUAUUUUUGUAGUUCUCCGUGUAAUCCUAACACAAGAUGUGAGAAUUUCCCACAUCAUUAGUCAUUUCUGCCUUGUUUAUUUGUUCAUGGUAAUAGCACUUUCAGUGAUUUAAGUUUGGUUAAUCUGAGAUACUCUUUUUCUUGAUUAUAUAAUGCCGUGAAACAGCCUGGAGCAACAACUGCUGGUAUAACCUGAACGCGGUGGAGGUUAUGGAGAGAUGCAUGUCCGGGAUCCUCUGCUUCCGUCGUACACCACGGUCAGCGUAGGAAUUCGCUAACCCCAAGUUACCUUUCAGUGCAAGGUUGCCUUGCAUUCUGACCCUAUGCUUUACUUAACCCAAGGAGUGCUGAGCAUAUUAUUGAUGGAGCUGGAGAGCUGCACCUCGAAAUUCGUUUAAAGGAUCUGCAAGAGGACUUCAUGGGUGGUGCUGAAAUUACUGUUUUUCCCUCUUGAAAUUAUAAAUGGACGGUGCUAUCCAACUUGGAAUUUUCUACAUCCAAGAAAAAUGGAGCUUGAUGAUUGUGUAACUCAGAAAAGCAUCAUAGUGAAGUUACUCAUUUUAGACUCUACCAGUUGAGCUAACAUAACAGUUUGUCUUAUGAGUAGGUUGGCACACCGCAGGUUAAUUGCUUCGUCAAAUGACUCUGGUGUAGAUGUAAGGUUCUUUUCUUAGGAACACUUCUCAUCUGCUAAAGUAAAUAUCCCAGAAGGUACUGGAUAACGGGUGUUUUACUUUUGUACUCACCGCACGCUUGCCAUUGGAGAAGGCACAUGAGGGUGUUGUGGCGGAGGUGUUUGGUGUUGCUCUCAUGGGUAUUGCGGUGGCAAUGUCAAGGCAUCUCACCACAUCCAGACAACAACCUUGAUCCACAGUAAGAUCAUUCCAUUCGGCUUCAAUCUGUCUACUUGGUUUUUUCUACCACUAGCAUAAUGUCUACUAUAUUAUUGCUAUAAAAUCAAAUGAUUCGUGUAAAUGUUGCCAUAUAUCCUGGCAUAUGUAAAUUUUCCGUCUUCUCUUGUAUGUAUGGUGUUCCUAUUUGCUCCGUGUAACUUAACAUCCUUGCGUCAUAAAUAUUGUUGCAACAAUGGUUUUCCUUUUCUCACUGCGUAGUCUAUAGUGGUACACUGCAGUACAAUGCCAUUAAAUUUUAUUAUCAUCUUUAGGUUUCUGAUCCCAUCUGGGUGCACCAAUUAUUUUAGCUCCAAAUGAAUUUGAUGCUGAUAUAAUAUAUGUGUGAAUUGUCCUUCUCAUGAUAUUUAUAAUAUAUACCUAUAAGGUUUACCUUUUAGUUCUAUAAUUUCUGGGCUAUGAUUGUGGAUUUCGUGCAAUCGUUCCAUUUUUGCAGCGUUGUAUUGGGAGUUGGAAGGAAUUGCAUAUAAGACUACCACAUGUGCGACCUAACCGACUUGGAUUUCGUUGUUAUCAUGAUCCAUUAGAUGUCGCCACCGCUGGCUGGACCUUCUGGUGUUUGAUAAUCUAGCUCUUUGCAGAUUUGUUGUCUUCAAAUACGGCUAAAUGUGAGCCAUACUAACAACCUUUAGUUCUUGAGAUUUGUGUUAUAUCCUGGAGUAACAAUCUGCAACAGUGCUCAUGGUUUUUUACAUCUACUAUCUAAAAUAUAAAUUUGUUUUUCUCUAUGUUGUCUUUGCUGUUGAGGGAUCGGUUAUUUUUCCUGUUUAAUAUAGAAAGACGAUGCAAAAAAAUAAUUUGUGCCUUCCUCUAUGUAUCUCAGACAUUUACUAGAAAAAACAUGCAUGAUUUUUAACACUGUCUACAAAGUAAAUGUAUCCUCUUCUCUCAUUAGUUCAGAUAUAUUCUGGAGAUAAUAUCUUCUGUUCUGACUAGAUUUUGGGCAUGUGAACUGGUGAAGUUUCCUCAGACCAUAAUAGUUUUAAUUUAUCAUGAGAGAUCUUUGUCAGGCCUUGAGAUUCUCGCUGAGAUCUCCUUGAUGCAAUUAUUAAGAUGGAGUUACAAGACAGGCAUGUAUAAAUCCAUUAGCUGCUCAAAUGGACAAAUUGCUAUAUUAAUAUUUGUUGCUUGCCUUUGUUACUUGACCUUCUUUUUUUGGUUGAUCGCUGUUGGCACUAUCUCUGAACAUUAUUCUGGAUCAUGUUGUGUUGCAUUGCCAUCAGAUUGGAUAAGGGCUUGUUUGUAUUUAUGCUAUAUAUAUUCUCGGAAACGUUGAAAUAGCUACUUAUCUGGAAUAGUUCUUUUAGAAAAAUCAUGAGAACUAAUAUAUUCAUGCCAUUACAUAGUAAGAAUGACUUCUGCAAAAAGGAUGCAGAGUAACCAGCCAUCUCAUAUACACUAUAUUGCUAGGGUCCCUUUGCUACUUAACAAAAAUAGUAUUGUCUGGUUUUUGUACAGAAUGAAUAAAAAUCAAGGUUAAGCGCUGGUAAGAUUGAAGAUAUUUUUGGUCCGGUCACAACUUUCUGUAAUGGUAUGAUUUUAGGAUUGUGAACUGAAAUAUAUAUAAUAAUGAAGUAAUUAUAUUACUCGAUCAACCAAUCAUUAAAUAAGGAUAGUGUUUGUUUUCGGUAUAUAUUUUACAGAUGCGUAAGCCGCACUAUGAAUCAAAGAAAGAGCCUAAUUUCGGGAAACUCUUUCAUUCCUUUCUUUCCAAGCACCGUAAAUGAUGUAUGUUAUGAUGCCACCAGCAGCUCCUUUAUAUCCGUUCGUAUAUGUCCAGUAUAGGUUUCCACCACUUAUUGAAAGAUUGACUUGUUGUUGUAGUCGAAGGCACCAUGAUCUCAAAGCAAGCACUGAGUCUCGAAUUGAAGGUGUUUGAUGAAAAGGCAAGCAGAUUGCAUCGAAAUAUUAAUCCAUAGUUGCUAAAGAGAUGGACGAGAUCACAGAGCCAAGGAGAGGUGUUGCCCACUCACCGCGCGCUUGCUACUGAAGAUGUGUUAUUUGACUUAAACAGUUUUCAGAUUUAUUUUCUUUGCUUCUUUGAUAUUUUUCAUGUUAUGGUUACUGAUUGAAACAAUCAUUUUCAGCGAGAGGCAAUUUCAAAUAGAUUUCUUCCCCUUCCCCUCAUGCAUUGUGCGGCAAAUUAGUGCGGCUGAACGGACUGCACUACAUGGCUUUCAGCUAGGGGGUGCGAGAGGCAAUUUUUCAACUGACUCUAGGUGCUCAAGUGCUCGGUCUUAACAACCGUACUAUUAUAUCUCUUCUUUCGGACUCUCCGGUAACGAGUGAAGGAGAGGUGGUGCAGGGGGCCGUGUGAAGCAACACUGGUGGUGGCUACAGCUCAAGAAAAUGAAGAAGAGAUAUGUCUAUGUUAGUGAAUGCAUGUGUGAUCAAAAUAAUUUACAUGAGGUAAUCAGUUCCCUGGUUAUUACCCGGGUAUUUUGCCGCCACAUAACAUGAAGUGCUCUCUCGGGAUGACGAGAUGCUAUGGCUGUGAUAACCGGUGCUCCGAAGACUAUCUAUACAUGUAGGUAGUCAUGCUGACGUGCCUUGGUUUGCCUACCGUACCUACCAGUUGUUAAGCUUUGUCUUCAUAAUAGUAUAUGUACUUUACUGUUUGUUCUUACCAUAGUGCGUAUGCUCUGUACUUCCAUGUUUUCGCAAUAUAUAUUUGACAUUCUGGUGGUUUGUAAAUAUUAGAGCGAAAGAACUAUCUACCCUGGAGACUCAUGAAUGUAACCUUAUGUAUGGCUUUAAAUUAAAGUGCCAGUAUAUUUUUUUUUCUUACAA